rnacentral:rRNA from 1 species
GACGAACCGUGCGAACGUUAUUCGGAAUCACUGGGCUUAAAGCGCGUGUAGGCGGAUGGGAACGUCGGUAGUUGAAAGCCCCCGGCUCAACCGGGGAAGUGGUGCCGAAACGACCCGUCUGGAGGGACGUAGGGGGACCUGGAACUUCCGGUGGAGCGGUGAAAUGCGUUGAGAUCGGAAGGAACGCCCGUGGCGAAAGCGGUGCACUGGGGUUGGUCUGACGCUGAGGCACGAAAGCCAGGGGAGCGAACGGG